GAUGGAGCAGCUUGGUAGCUCGUCGGGCUCAUAACCCGAAGGUCGUUGGUUCAAAUCCAGCUC
rnacentral:tRNA from 1 species